rnacentral:sRNA from 1 species
CUGUGGCGCAACCUCAGUGAGGAGGGCCGCCCUGCACCCGUUGCCGGCCCCGGUCUCCAGGGGCCUCACCCGAGUGAUGCCCCGCUAUUGCGCAGCGAUUUGUUGUAAGAACCGCCGGGGACGAAACAAUAAAGACCGGAAGCUGAGUUUUUAUCCGGAAAAGACCCUUCUAAAAAAAAAUCCCAGAAGAAAAACUUGGAAGAUGAGAAAGAAGUAUGCCCAAAAGCCAAGUCAGAAGAAUCAUUUGUAUUAAAUGAGACAAAGAAAAAUAUGGUUAACACAAAUGUGCCCCCUCAACAUCCAGAAUUACUUCAUUCAUCUUCCUUGGUAAAGCCACCAGAUCCCAAAACAGGAAGUAUACAAAAUAACAUGUUAACUCUUAAUCUAGUUAAACAACAUACUGGGAAACCAGAAUCUACCUUGGAAACAUCAGUUAACCAAGAUACAGGUAUAGGUGGUUUUCACACAUGUUUUGAGAAUCUAAAUUCUACAACUAUUACUUUGACAACUUCAAAUUCAGAAAGUAUUCAUCAAUCUUUGGAAACCCAAGAAGUUCUUGAAGUAACUACCAGUCAUCUUGCUAAUCCAAACUUUACAAGUAAUUCCAUGGAAAUAAAGUCAGCACAGGAAAAUCCAUUCUUAUUCAGCACAAUUAAUCAAACAGUUGAAGAAUUAAACACAAAUGAAUCUGUUAUUGCCAUUUUUGUACCUGCCGAAAAUUCUAAACCUUCAGUUAAUUCUUUUAUAUCUGCACAAAAAGAAACCACAGAAAUGGAAGACACAGACAUUGAAGACUCCUUGUAUAAGGAUGUAGACUAUGGGACAGAAGUGUUACAAAUCGAACAUUCUUACUGCAGACAAGAUAUAAAUAAGGAAC